rnacentral:rRNA from 1 species
GCAUGUCUAGUAUAAGCACUUGUACUGUGAAACUGCGAAUGGCUCAUUAAAUCAGUUAUCGUUUAUUUGAUAGUACCUUACUACAUGGAUACCUGUGGUAAUUCUAGAGCUAAUACAUGCUAAAAACCCCGACUUCAGGAAGGGGUGUAUUUAUUAGAUAAAAAACCAACGCCCUUCGGGGCUCCUUGGUGAAUCAUAAUAACUUAACGAAUCGCAUGGCCUUGCGCCGGCGAUGGUUCAUUCAAAUUUCUGCCCUAUCAACUUUCGAUGGUAGGAUAGUGGCCUACCAUGGUGGCAACGGGUAACGGGGAAUUAGGGUUCGAUUCCGGAGAGGGAGCCUGAGAAACGGCUACCACAUCCAAGGAAGGCAGCAGGCGCGCAAAUUACCCAAUCCCGAUACGGGGAGGUAGUGACAAUAAAUACUGAUACGGGGCUCUUUUGGGUCUCGUAAUUGGAAUGAGAACAAUUUAAAUCCCUUAACGAGGAACAAUUGGAGGGCAAGUCUGGUGCCAGCAGCCGCGGUAAUUCCAGCUCCAAUAGCGUAUAUUAAAGUUGUUGCAGUUAAAAAGCUCGUAGUUGAACCUUGGGUCUGGCUGGCCGGUCCGCCUCACCGCGAGUACUGGUCCGGCUGGACCUUUCCUUCUGGGGAACCUCAUGGCCUUCACUGGCUGUGGGGGGAACCAGGACUUUUACUGUGAAAAAAUUAGAGUGUUCAAAGCAGGCCUUUGCUCGAAUACAUUAGCAUGGAAUAAUAGAAUAGGACGUGUGGUUCUAUUUUGUUGGUUUCUAGGACCGCCGUAAUGAUUAAUAGGGAUAGUCGGGGGCGUCAGUAUUCAGCUGUCAGAGGUGAAAUUCUUGGAUUUGCUGAAGACUAACUACUGCGAAAGCAUUCGCCAAGGAUGUUUUCAUUAAUCAGGGAACGAAAGUUAGGGGAUCGAAGACGAUCAGAUACCGUCGUAGUCUUAACCAUAAACUAUGCCGACUAGGGAUCGGACGGGAUUCUAUAAUGACCCGUUCGGCACCUUACGAGAAAUCAAAGUUUUUGGGUUCU